rnacentral:ncRNA from 1 species
GAAGCAUCAUAGUGUCCCCGUCCGCAUAAAUGAAUAAUCUGGAACUGUUUUAAUAAUUCAUUUAGAUUCUCACGAAUGGAAUUAUUAAUUGCAACAGCACCGAGACUUCCACCCAUUACAAGAAGAACCGGUUUGGAAUCAUCAAAUCCA